AUUGAACGCUGGCGGCAGGCUUAACACAUGCAAGUCGAGCGGAGUGAUGGUGCUUGCACUAUCACUUAGCGGCGGACGGGUGAGUAAUGCUUAGGAAUCUGCCAUUUAGUGGGGGACAACAUUCCGAAAGGAAUGCUAAUACCGCAUACGUCCUACGGGAGAAAGCAGGGGAUCGUCGGACCUUGCGCUAAAUGAUGAGCCUAAGUCGGAUUAGCUAGUUGGUGGGGUAAAGGCCUACCAAGGCGACGAUCUGUAGCGGGUCUGAGAGGAUGAUCCGCCAGACUGGGACUGAGACACGGCCCAGACUCCUACGGGAGGCAGCGGUGGGGAAUAUUGGGCAAUGGGCGGAAGCGUGAUCCAGCCAUGCCGCGUGUGUGAAGAAGGCCUUUUGGUUGUAAAGCACUUUAAGCGAGGAGGAGGCUACUAGUACUAAUACUACUGGAUAGUGGACGUUACUCGCAGAAUAAGCACCGGCUAACUCUGUGCCAGCCGCCGCAGUAAAAC
rnacentral:rRNA from 1 species